rnacentral:misc_RNA from 1 species
AACGCACAUUGCGCCCAUUGGUAUUCCUUUGGGCAUGUCUGUUUGAGCGUCAUUACAACCCUCAGCUAACCGCUGGUUUUGAACCCGAACGGCCCUGAACGGGGACCCCGCGCCGGUUCUAAAGUUGUAAGCUCUGCUGGCCGCUCUGCCCAACCGGAACAUAGUAAGCUCUACUUGUUCGGGGUGAAGCUGAACGGUGCGGCCUGAACAAAACCUACCCAUUUCUUCAAGGUUUGACCUCAGAUCAGACAAGGAUACCCGCUGAACUUAA